GUGCCAGCAGCCGCGGUAAUACGUAGGUGACAAGCGUUGUCCGGAUUAAUUGGGCGUAAAGGGAGCGCAGGCGGUCUGUUUAGUCUAAUGUGAAUCCCCACGGCUUAACCGUGGAACGGCAUUGGAAACUGACAGACUUGAAUGUAGAAGAGGAAUUUGGAAUUCCAAGUGUAGCGGUGGAAUGCGUAGAUAUUUGGAGGAACACCAGUGGCGAUGGCGAUUUUCUGGUCUAACAUUGACGCUGAGGCUCGAAAGCGUGGGGAGCGAACAGGAUUAGAAACCCCCGUAGUCC
rnacentral:rRNA from 1 species